UGACAUGUUUGAUGUUCAAGAGAUGCGGCGUUAAUGUAUCGACCCAUCAUGCAUUGUUCCACAUUUCAAGUUCCUACGACCGGGACUUCCAGAGCGGGUGUAAGACCCAUAGAGAUGAGGAACCAGUGUAUGCUGAGCGAUGCAUUCUAGAGUCAGGUUGCUUGAGAGUGCAGCUUAAAGUCGGUGGUAAACUCCAUCCAAGACUAAAUAUUACAGCGAGACCGAUAGCAAACAAGUACCGUGAGGGAAAGUUGCAAAGCACUUUGAAGAGAGAGUUCAAAAGAACGUGAAACCACUGGGAGGCAAACAGAUGGAACCACGAAGUGUGCGCCUCGGUCGAUUCAAUCAUCACUUUUGAACAGUUGCGGUUAAUCAGGAUCUUUUCGAAGAUUGGUUUUCCGUAAUUUUGUUCAAAAGUGUUGGUGCAUUUCGUGCCUGGGAUGCAAAGCCACGUUCAACUAGAGUUGGGACGGCUGUAAGAAAGAAUCCAGGAAAGGUGACCGUCAAGUGCUUGCAUUUGACGGCGUUAUAGUCUUGGAUUGGCACCGUCACCUAACAUACUGGUUGAUAAAAUUUCUCCAUUUGGAGUUGAACCAUAUCUGCCUGUGAUUGUUAGUCGAUGUUGCGUAAUGUUCUUUGCGUAUCUUUCGAUGCGAAAAGACUUUACAAAAAUGUCGGCUAAUGGUUGCUUGCGUGAUAUGGUGGAACUGUGGUGUGAGUAGGUCGGUCUCCAUCUGACCCGUCUUGAAACACGGACCAAGGAGCCUAUCAUAUACGCGAGUCGCUCGGUCUUGUUUAGGCCUGGGAGGCGUAAUGAAAGUAAAGUUACGAGGCUUCGGCUACAGUAACGGCUCGCCCACUUUGUUUAUUGGCAAUAUGGCGAAGCUGGAGCGUAUACGAUGGUACCCGAAAGAUGGUGAACUAUGCCUGGGCAAGACGAAGCCAGAGGAAACUCUGGUGGAGGUCUGUAGCGAUUCUGACGUGCAAAUCGAUCGUCAGACCUGGGUAUAGGGGCGAAAGACUAAUCGAACCAUCUAGUAGCUGGUUCCCUCCGAAGUUUCCCUCAGGAUAGCAGGCAUUUAUUAAAUGCAGUCUCAUCCGGUAAAGCUAAUGAUUAGAGGUCUUGGGGUUGAAACGACCUCAACCUAUUCUCAAACUUUAAAUGGGUGAGAUGGUUGACUUUCUUGAUUGAAGCCAACCAUUUGGAUGCAAAUGCCUAGUGGGCCAUUUUUGGUAAGCAGAACUGGCGCUGUGGGAUGAACCAAACGUCGAGAUAAGGCAUCAAAUGCAUACGCUCAUCAGACCCCAUGAAAGG
rnacentral:rRNA from 1 species